CAGUAGCCGCGGGAAAACGUAGGGUGCGAGCGUUAAUCGGAAUUACUGGACGUAAAGCGUGCGCAGGCGGUUCGUUAAGACAGAUGUGAAAUCCCCGGGCUUAACCUGGGAACUGCAUUUGUGACUGGCGAGCUAGAGUAUGGCAGAGGGGGGUAGAAUUCCACGUGUAGCAGUGAAAUGCGUAGAGAUGUGGAGGAAUACCGAUGGCGAAGGCAGCCCCCUGGGCCAAUACUGACGCUCAUGCACGAAAGCGUGGGGAGCAAACAGGAUUAGAUACCCCAGUAGUCCCUGUCUCUUAUAA
rnacentral:rRNA from 1 species